rnacentral:lncRNA from 1 species
CUUAGAUUGAUAUAUAUAUAUAUAUAUAUAUAUAUAUAUAUAUAUAUAUAUAUAUAUAUAUAUAUAUAUAUAUAUAUAUAUAUAUAUAUAUUGAUAGAUAACUAUUGCAUAGAUAUAUAAUGAUAUAUAUAUAUAUAUAUAUUUAAGCAUUAUCUAUCUUAACUCUCCACACUUAAUAUCCAGCUAUUGUUCAACAGUUUUACUUCUGUUUCUUUCCCUAAACAGCCCAGACCCGUGUACUGCAGGAUCAAUCCAACUGUUCCUGUCCUGGACCGUUAUUUUAAUGGCCAGGACACUAAACUGAUUUUAGGUUGAGCAGGGAGGCCCUGGCAGUGCUGCUGGACCUUCUCGGCCAGGAGCGGAGCCAUGGAUGGGGUGCCACCAUUGAGACCCUGGUGUUUCUAUUCUGGCUGGCUAGUGGGACAUCAUACAGGGUGGUCUCCAGAGUGUUCGGGAUGCCUCGUUCCACUGUCCACCGCAUCGUCCACAGGGUCACUGAGGAGGUGGUGGCCAUUCGCCACAAAGUCAUCCACCUCCCGAAGACCCCUGAAGACCUGGUGGCAGUGACCAAUGGGUUUGCAGGGCUGGCAAGACACCGCGCUUUUGGGAAAGCAGCGGGAGCAAUCGACGGCUGCCAUGUCCAUAUCAAGCCACCGAGCGGCCCUGAUGGUCACUGCUUCAGGAACAGGAAACUGUUUUCCUCCAUAAUUCUGCAGGCUGUUUGUGACCAUCAGGGCCGCUUCCUUGAUACGUACGUGCAGCUGGCCUGGAUCAGUCCAUGACUCCAGAGUCCUCCGCCACAGCCCACUGUAUAGGUCACUCUACCCUCCUCCAGGGCACUUCAUCCUUGCAGACGGCGGGUACCCUUGCCUCCAACACCCCUCAUCACUCCCUACAAGAGGCCAGUGCGAGGUGUGGGAGCCCAGCGCUUCAACUGGCAUCAUUCCAGGGCACGCUCCAUUAUAGAGCGUGCUUUUGGAAUGAUGAAGACCAGGUUCAGGGCCAUCUUCCUGCAAGCGCUGGAGGUGCACCACACCUUCGUACCUCACGAUGGUAAUCACUCAACAGGAUUUUUUAGAAUACUAAGAGUAAAUCAAAAAACAUUUAUUAUUUUCUCAGGAGGUAUAUAUCAUUUUUUCAUUUCUUUUCUUUACCAUUUCAGGUCAUAACAGCAUGUGCCAUCCUCCACAACAUCUGCCUUGGGGCCGAUGACAUCAUGGCCCCAGAGGAGGAGGAUGAGCCUGAGGACGAUGUAGAGGAGGAUGAGGUGGGCGAUGGUUUGGAGGCAGCCAGUGGUGCUCCCUGGCGGGACCAGCUAUCUGCAGAGGUGUCUGCCCUGGAGGAGGCCCCCCCUGACCACCAAUAUAUACAGGCAAGUAAAAUAAUUGAAAAGCUAUUUCUAUUUAUUUAAAAUGUUUUGUAGAAUAGUUU